rnacentral:rRNA from 1 species
UACGUAGGGGGCAAGCGUUGUCCGGAAUCAUUGGGCGUAGAGCGCGUGUAGGCGGCCAGAAAAGUCCGCUGUGAAAACUCGAGGCUCAACUUCGAGCUGUCGGUGGAAGCUUUCUGGCUAGAGUCCGGAAGAGGAGAAUGGAAUUCCUGGUGUAGCGGUGAAAUGCGUAGAUAUCGUAAGGAAGACCAGUGGCGAAGGCGGGUCUCUGGACAGUUCCUGACGCUGAGGCACGAAGGUCAGGGGAGCAAACGGG